UUGAAUGAGGCCCACCCAUACCGUGGAGGGGAAUCUGCUUUACUCAAAAGGCUACUGAAUGAACUGGUAAUCACAUCGAAGAAUCGUCUUUGAAGCAACAUCUAGACUGGUGCUUGACCACUAGGCACCACAGCGUAACCAAGGUGUGAAUCACUGUGCCCAGCUCCUUUUUUCCUGUUUGGACGCUACCUUGGGGCAUCGAAGUUGUUCUGAGAAUGAGUAAACACCGAGAAGGCAGAACCAGAGGAGGAUGAGUGAGAAUCUGGGUCUGCUUCUGUAUUGUGGAGAAUUGUAAGCUCGGAAAUUAGAAUUUUGCUUAAACCUGAA